CUUUUGGAAUGGGGACAGCAUAUAUGUAAGAUGUAGCUGCUAGAGUUUCCCGGUAUCAUGGCGGAUGUGUAAGGAUUCGCCACCAGAGGAAUCAGAUUUUAAUAAGGCUUACAAGAUUAGGUUUUAGUUGUUGUGCCCAGAGAUUGAGUUACCAUUGUUUCUGAACUAAGUUUGUGUUGGCUUUCCCUUCACACAGUGGGGGCGGCUCAUCUGGGUUCAAGAGAGAAAGGUAUCCUGUAAAGCAUGGGUGUGCUAAAUGUGCAACACAAAGGUUGUGGGGGAUUUGAAGCACAGGUGGGCUUGGGUUCAGACUACAAACUGCUUCUGUGUGACUAAGAGAAGAAGAAUCAGAGUAAAGAGAAACAUACUCUCUUAAUCUCCGAAGAUUAACGGCAGGAGGAGCUCUAGAAUUUCACAAAGGUGCUGUCAGGACACAUGAAAAUCUAGAGAAAAAGACCAGCUUGAAGAGACCAAAAAGAAGAAAGCCUGCCAAUCACAUCCUCCAGAGAUUCUGAGACACACACACCCCUGGUGUAGGGGGACACCAUCUGAAAGGUGACACCCAUUCUACGGAAUAUAAGUACCAGCUAAAGAGGACACACACUUGAAGAAAAAGGAGACAAUGAGGUCUUGUGAAUGCUCUAAUUUUUCAAAGCUUACUUUUAAUGAUGGUUCUUAAACGCUUUAACCUCCCUUCUAGUCCACCACCCACCAAAGGUAGUGAAAAGAAAGGUGAUUAGGAUACAGGCGAAGUGAACCUGUUCAGACAUGGUUCUUUGGUGCACAACCUAGCAGGAACAUCCAGGUCUCAGUGGAAUCAGCUCAAAUCAGCAUGAAGAAUUAGGACCAUUAGGAGUUCCAGGAGAAGCUCUCAGCUCUGCCUCUCUGGACAAAUCGAUGAUCAGGAAAGACAAAAGCGCGAGAAGCGUUGCAGAGUUAGCUGUACAAGCUAGCCUCUCUCACGGUCUGUUGAGUCCUAUUUAUACUCCCUCCAAACAUCACAUGUCCUCCAUGGGUCUUGCCUCACCGUGUGUCUUACCUCAGCACAUGAAUCUGUCUCAGCUGAUAUCGCUCUGCUAAGCGACCAAGUCGGCAGAAGAGGCAAGAAGCCACCAGCCAUCACCAGAAGGUUUUUGGUGCAUUUCUCUCUGUGGAGUGUCAACAAAUGAAGAUCAACUACACAAUGUAAGGUGGACCAAGUCAUGCGUAUUGUUAGCAAAGAAUCCAUCAUGUAUCCUUUCACAUGCUUGCUUUGCCAAAACAUCCUCUCAUUUGUGUAUGCUUCAGUGAAGUUUCUUCCCGUAUCUGCCUUAUUGAAACAUCUCUUCACUUGUCUCUGUUUCAGGAAAACACUCCUUCCUGUGUGUGCCCCAGCAAAGCACAAUUCAAUGAAACUGACUUUCUAAAGAAACCAAAAGUUGGGGCUGGAGAGAUGGCUCAGUGGUUAAGAGCACUGACUGCUCUUCAAGAUGUCCUGAGUUCAAUUCCCAGCAACCACAUGGUGGCUCACAACGAUCCAUAAUGAGAUCCAAUGCCCCCUUCUGGUGUAUCUGAAGACAGCUACAGUGUACUCACAUACAUAAAAUAAAUAAAAUCUUGAAAAAAGAAAAAA
rnacentral:lncRNA from 1 species